rnacentral:rRNA from 1 species
GUGAGGAAUUUUCCGCAAUGGGCGAAAGCCUGACGGAGCAAUGCCGCGUGAAGGAUGAAGGCCUAUGGGUUGUAACCUUCUUUUCUCAGAAAAGAAUUAUGACGGUAUCUGAGGAAUAAGCAUCGGCUAACUCUGUGCCAGCAGCCGCGGUAAGACAGAGGAUGCAAGCGUUAUCCGGAAUGAUUGGGCGUAAAGCGUCUGUAGGUUGUUUAAAAAGUAUUCUGUCAAAGAUUAGGGCUUAACCCUAGAUAGGCAGAAUAAACUUUUAAGCUAGAGUUUGGUAGAGGCAGAGGGAAUUCCCGGUGGAGCGGUGAAAUGCGUAGAUAUCGGGAGGAACACCAAAGGCGAAGGCACUCUGCUGGGCCAAUACUAACACUGAGAGACGAAAGCGAGGGGAGCAAAUGGGAUUAGAAACCCGGGUAGUCC